UGUCUGUUCUGUAUGGUGGGUGGGCGCAUACCCUAUCAGAGAGAGAAGGCUGAGCGUUCACUGGAAAAGCGGAAAGAAAAUGGCGGCCGUGGCUGCGGAGGCUAGAGCUGCUGCAGCAUCAACAACACCAGCGGGGGACAGAGUAGCGCCCGAGCCAGAGACACUGCAGCCAGCCCUGGCGGAGCCCAAAAGCGAUGCCGAGGCUGUGAAGGAGCUUGUUUCACAAAUGGACCCGGAGCCCAUUCCUGAUCAUAGGGAUGCCGCUCCGGAAUGCAGCAGCCUGGUCAGCGCUGAGGCAGAGGGCAGGCCAGAUCCCGUUCCAGAGGCCGCGGGAAAGUCUUAUAUUAAUCCCAGCGAGCAGCAGGAGAAAGAUACCAUGAUGGUCGUAGGAGGUGAAGUGGAGACUGUGACCGCUCUGGCAGACCACGGCCAGGGAAUGGAGCGGACAGCGGAGCGUGAGAACGAGUAUAACGGCGGAGCUACGGAGAUAGCUUCUGAUCCGGUUACUGGCAAUGAGGUCAGUUAUCAUGAUUUUCAGGCUUAUCCCGAAUCCGGGGUUAUUUCUGAUCUAGUGGUUGAGGCGAUCUUGGAUCCAGACCCCGCUGCUGCAUUAGGAGAAGCUGAGAUGGAAACACCUUUGUUGGAGGAACCUGUCGCAACUUGUGAUCACACGGUACACGUAGAACCAGACGAGACCGAACCCAUUGAAACGGGGGGUGAAGCUCGAACUGAGAUCGAGCCAUUGCCAGAGAAUAAACCGGUUGUUGAUGGCGUGGAUACUGAUCUGAAGGAUGAGAAUGCUGUGGGACAGUCGUUUGUUGAUUCUGGUCCACACUGUUCUUCGAUAGCGACCCAAGACUCUAACAUUAUACCGAUACUGGAAAAUGAGAAACUGUUUGGGACCGAUUCAGUUCAAAAUAAAGACAGUGACAUUAACAGUACUGAUAUAGUGGAGCCGCCUGUUUUAUUAUUUGAAGUUAACUCCGCUGCUUCAGAAACAGAGGAACUUGUGGUACCGCAGCCUUUCAAGGUGGAAACCCAACACGGCGAACCAGAAACAAAGUCGAUGGAAGGGAAGGGCUCUGUUGUGGUCCACACAGAGACAAUCGCCGAGCUAAUCCCGGGGUCCGAGGUACGGGUCAUGCUCGAUCAUAUAAUCGAUGAUGCGCUGGUGGUCUCCUUCCGACUUGGCGAGAAGAUGUUUUCUGGGGUGCUUAUGGACCUGUCCAGAAGAUUUGGACCCUAUGGAAUUCCAGUGACUGUGUUUCCCAAAAGAGAAUACAGGGAUAAACCAUAUUCUAUGCAGCUAAAGACUGAAGCAUUCCAGGCAGAGACAGAGAAGGGACAGUGUGAAGCUAUAGGGGAUGCCCCCGAGGACCCCGCCAAGAAUCCACUUGUGCAGACCAACCAAUGGACUUCUAAACCUCCGCCUUUGUUCCAUGAAGGAGCCCCUUACCCUCCACCUUUGUUUAUCAGGGACACUUACAACCAGUCAAUACCUCAGCCCCUUCCGCGGAAAAUUAAAAGGCCGAAGCGCAAACUGUACCGGGAAGAGCCCACGUCUAUUAUGAAUGCCAUUAAACUUCGGCCGCGACAGGUACUGUGUGACAAGUGCAAGAACGGCAUUCUGCCGGAGAAGAAGGAUGUGAAAAGGAGUCACUCUGACUACAGGGGCGAGGAGAGCAAAAAAAGGCGGAACGAGAGUGUGGCGACUGUGAACAAGAGGCUCCGAAGUGAGCUUAAGGUGGAGGAGAAAGGCCGCAGCACAGAGGGAGUGAAACGCCACGCUGCCGUAGUCUCCAAGGUCUCCAGUGUGGUCCAGACCAAAGGUGGCGGCAGCAGCAGGGUAGUCAAAGUGACUGCUGCAGCUUCCCAGGUGAACAGCUCACGGGUGCAGCUCAACACCAAGAAAGUGCUGCAGAGCAAGAACGUGGAUCACUCUAAGGCACAGGAUGUGCUGAAGAUCGCCAAGGAGAAAGUGCAGAAGCGGCAGCGGGAUAGCGGUGGCGAUGCCAACAUGACGGGCACGGCGGCUUCCAAGGGAACCAUUCAGAAAGUCCACUUCACCCGACGCCUCCAGAACAGCAGCGGCAACGCGGCCCCCCUGCCACCCAGGAUACGCAUCAAGCCCCAAAGGUACCGUAACGAAGAGAACAACUCUUCCUCUUGUAAAGCGGGCUUUGAUAAAGUUCAGGGCUGCUGUAAAGGGGUGCCCACGACCACUCCACCCCAUUGCACCUCGACUCGCUCCUCUGCAGGUGAGGCCACUUCUUCCGAAAACCAGAGCCCCGCUAAAAGCCCAGAGUCUGAGCCCAUGCCUGAGCCCCAACCCGAUCCCCAGCCCGAGUCUGAAGCCAACCCUGAGCCUGAGCCAGGGCCAGAGGCCGAGGCCACAGAUGAGAAUAAAGACCUGGUAGUGGUGUCUGAGGAGCAGGAGCAGGAGGAGAAACGGGAAAAGCGAGGCAGCAAGGGCAAUAUCACAGUUUACAUGACCUUAAAUCAGAAAAAGCCAGACUCGUCUAGUGCUUCGAUGUGCAGUAGCGAUAGUGCAGAUGACCUUAAAUCGUCCAACUCUGAGUGUAGCUCUACCGAGACCUUUGACUUUCCUCCUCCCGGCUCUUUGCACGCACCCUCCACCUCCAGCACCACCACCACCAGCAGCACCACCACCUCCACAACCUCCUCCUCCUCCUCCUCCUCCUCCUCCUCUUCGAAGGAAGAGAAAAAGCUCAGUAAUUCCUUGAAACCGAAAGUCUUUUCCAAAAAUGUCUCUAAGUGCGUGACUCCAGAUGGCAGGACCAUAUGCGUAGGGGACAUUGUGUGGGCCAAAAUAUACGGCUUCCCUUGGUGGCCAGCCCGAAUCCUUGCUAUAACCGUGAGCCGCAAAGAUAACGGUCUUUUAGUCAGACAGGAGGCCCGGAUCUCCUGGUUCGGUUCCCCGACGACUUCUUUCUUGGCCCUCUCGCAGCUCUCCCCCUUUUUAGAAAGCUUCCAGUUGCGUUUUAACAAGAAGAGAAAGGGCCUGUACCGCAAGGCCAUCACAGAGGCAGCCAAGGCUGCCAAGCAGCUGAGUCCUGAGGUGCGGGCCUUGCUGACACAGUUUGAGACGUGAAACAUGGCAGGAAAGGAAGGUAGGCAAGCAAGCUGUGCCUGAGAUUUCCACUAUCCCUGUCGCCUCCAAACACCUCGCCACUGGCAUAGAAAAUUCCAGCCGAGAAUCGCUGGAAUUAAUUUGGCACAGCGACACUAACAAGCUGCUGAUUGGUCCCUGAAGUCCACUACAACUCUGCCACUUUUUGGGAGUCUACAGAGAGAGAGAGGGUACCCCAUCCCGGGCACAAGAGAAUGAAAACCUUAUUUUACCUGAUGAGAAAAUAUUUUAUAAAUAGAAAAAAAAAAAAAAAAAGAUUUUGCAAUAAGUAUUGCAUGUGUGGAAAUUCUCUAUAUUGUAAAGAUUAGGGACCCAGUUUGUAUUGAUAGUGUAGCAUCCCUUUGAGUCUAUAAUGUUUCCAUGUGGAUGUUACCCUUUUUGAGUAUUUCUUUUAAAACGAGGGCUGUGAUGAGAAGGUUUUGCUUUCUAUAAUAUUUUGAGCGGAGCCUUGAAUGGGUGGCGCUUGAAGCCCUGAUGCUGCUAAAGGUGCUAGACUUCUCGGAAUGAACCGUACUACUGGAGUGUUCCCUACUCGCUCACUCGCUUUGUCACUCACACAGUGCUAGAAGCCUCCUCAGUUUAAGCACUAUAAUCCAUGCAGAGCAGCUCCGAUACACAUAGUGUACAGUACAGCAUGAAGUUUGAAGUCUGCAAUCUAUCCAAAAUCCAUUUCGGCUGGUUACUACUUGAGGCUGAAACCAAUCUUCUGAUAGUUGGUUACAGUGUGUUUUGUUUUUUUGUUUCUUUUUUUUUUUUUUUUGUAAAAAAUUAUAAAUUAUCCGACUGAGUCCUUGUGAAUACCUCAUUCGGAAGGCAAGGCUCCCGUCUCUUAGCUGCCUUUCCGACUGAUAAGUCUAAUACCUGUACCAGCAAAAUCUGUCUAUGCAACUUCUUUUGGAUUCGCAUUACAUGACACGCUUGAUUUUAUUAAUUAUUUGACUGGCUUGAGGCAUUGCAUGCAUUGGAUAUAUCUGCACAGUGUAUUUUUUUAUAAUGCUGACCUUUGUUGUAAAUGUUUGAUGAGCUCAGGUCACAAUUGGCUGAAGUCAGCACUCCUGGAAAAAUGAGUGCCGAAAUGUGGGGUGAGUCUCAUUUCCCUGCUCCAUCAGGAGCUGGUGCCCUCCAGUGCAUUAGGGCUGAGAAGCACACCCCAAUCUAACCUAAUAAGUGAGAGUGGAGAUAUGAGUAAAAGUCAAGCACUGCCUUUUUGUCCAAAAAAAAAAAGAGGAACUUGCUUAAUCAAGCAGGAUUCUUUCUCCUUUUUGUAUUUAAAGCUUUUGACAUUUAAAAUGCAUGUCAGGGAAACUGAAGGAUUUCAUCAAUUGAAACUGAUGCAUCAACUCCAGCUUACUGAAACAAUGCAAAUGAACGAUACUAGUGAUGGAAGCCUUUUAUUUUCUGCUUUUUUUUUUUUUUUUAUGGAAAAAAGGCAAAGCUAGAAUUGUACUCAUGUGUUGACUGUUUCUUUAAUGAAUGGUGAUUAUAAUGGAUUUAACACAUAGUAAUAGUUGGCACCUGGAGACAAGGCUGGCAAAUGAAACUCUGAAACAAUCCUUAUGCAUGUAAUGGUGGCGUCCACUGUCUGUGAAAUUCGCAGGGCUUUCCUUCGAACGCUCACUCACUGC